UGGGGAAUAUUGGACAAUGGGCGAAAGCCUGAUCCAGCCAUGCCGCGUGUGUGAAGAAGGUCUUCGGAUUGUAAAGCACUUUAAGUUGGGAGGAAGGGCAGUAAGCGAAUACCUUGCUGUUUUGACGUUACCGACAGAAUAAGCACCGGCUAACUCUGUGCCAGCAGCCGCGGUAAUACAGAGGGUGCAAGCGUUAAUCGGAAUUACGUGGCGUAAAGCGCGCGUAGGUGGUUCGUUAAGUUGAAUGUGAAAGCCCCGGGCUCAACCUGGGAACUGCAUCCAAAACUGGCGAGCUAGAGUAGGGCAGAGGGUGGUGGAAUUUCCUGUGUAGCGGUGAAAUGCGUAGAUAUAGGAAAGAACACCAGUGGCGAAGGCGACCACCUGGGCUCAUACUGACACUGAGGUGCGAAAGCGUGGGGAGCAAACAGG
rnacentral:rRNA from 1 species